ensembl:lncRNA
CAAAUAUGUACCUUUACCCAGCAUGUGGAGAUUAAAAGAUUAAGCGGUACAGGAGAGAAACAGACAUGAGUGAUUUUGUGCCAGUAAUGCCAGUAAUGUUAGUACUCUGUACCUGCAGUAAUGAAAUGAGGUGUGACUGCAAAGAGGGAAUGCCAUUUUUCCAGAAGAAUUCAUAGUUCUUUGUGCGUAUUUUGGUAUAUAUGAGCAUACUUGUGUGAACGCUUCAUGUUAGUGUUUGUGUGUGUGUGCGUGUAUAUUGGUCUGUCUUGCUGAGCCGUGCUCUCUAUCCCCAGGUAAGAGCCAUCAUUUUCUGUCCCUGCGUGGAGCCGUGAAGAAAAAUGCGGCUUUCCUUCGUAAGGCGUGUGCGUCUGUCUGCAUGGUCCAGCACUAUUUAAAACUUUACUGGAUUCUAGACAUGCAAGCAGAUUGCAACCUCUCUGCUCACCUAUACUCCCCACUUUCCGAUGCCUCUCUUCCUCCCCCUUUUAUCCACUCCCCCUCCAGUGGAGUAAGCAUCUUUCUCUGCAGCCUCCAGAGUGGGGAUCAGCUGCCUCUCAACACUGUAAAGUAGUUUAUUCUCUUCCUUACCCUUUUUCAUGCACCAACCACUGAAUGAUGAUUAAAUAUGAGGGCCAUAUAUAUGAAUAUCCUCCGACAGUGGAGACAUGGAAUUUUCCCCCUGAUAACUACCCCUGCUGCUGGCAAAAUUGCAUGUCUUUAUUACAUUAAAAUCUUUACAGUGUUUCAUGGCCCUUUAAAUUACUUGAGUACAUCCAAAAUGUAAAAAAAAAACAAAACAAAAAAAACCUCAAAGUCCAGGGAAUAGGGAUACAAGGAGAGAAAUAACAUUACUGUGCUGAGAUGAAACAACUUUUGUAGGAAAGGAUCUGCAUCUGCCUGACUUGUCUGAAAAAAUAACAAGAGGAUGUCAUCACAGAAAACAACUGGAGUGAUGGUUUCGUACCACACGACUCAUAAAAAACACUGUUCUUACUAUUGUUAGUGAUGUCAGAGUCCUCUCCUUGGUUUUUCAGAUUCCUUUCCCUAAAGUCCCCCCGCCCCCCUCCUGCAUCACUAUUAGCCUUGCUAGCUGCAAUAAUG